rnacentral:rRNA from 1 species
UGACGGUACCUUAGGAGGAACGCCCCGGCUAACUACGUGCCAGCAGCCGCGGUAAUACGUAGGGGGCAAGCGUUAUCCGGAAUCACUGGGCGUAAAGGGUGCGUAGGCGGCUUAGCAAGCCAGGGGUGAAAGGCAUUGGCUCAACCAAUGUAAGCCUUUGGAACUGUUAAGCUUGAGUGCAGGAGAGGUAAGUGGAAUUCCUAGUGUAGAGGUGAAAUUCGUAGAUAUUAGGAGGAACACCAGUGGCGAAGGCGACUUACUGGACUGUAACUGACGCUGAUGCACGAAAGCGUGGGUAGCGAACAGGAUUAGAUACCCUGGUAG